rnacentral:lncRNA from 1 species
GAAAAAUGUGGAGAAAUCUGAAACAUUUCCUGGUAUCCAGAACUUGAAAAAGAAGAGAGCGGGGCUUUCAAAAUCGCCCUAGUGUCUCUCUGCCUCCCCUGCCACUGCCAGCCAGUGCUCCAGGUCUUGGGCUUCAGAAGCCAUCAAGUGUCACGAUGGACAAACGGCUGUGUGGUGCCGGGGCCCUAUUAUUAGGCCGCCUGAUUUGCUUCGAACAAAGAAACGGCCGUGUUUUCUCUCUCCACAUCAGCUGGAGGUGGCAGUCAGAAAGCUGGCCUGAGGCCUGUUUGGGAUUCCAAGGAGUCUGUGUGCACAACUAAUUCCAAAUGACUAUUUUUUCGAUGUAUUUAGAGGGAGUGCGGCCUAAGGAGGCAGGCCUGGCAAGUCAGGGAAGCGUGGCGCUGGCGCUGCCUCUGCUCCCCACUCACUGUGACCUUGAGGAGGACUCUCAGCGUGCCCUGGUGGAGAGCAGUCUCCUUAGUGUGACCUUUGGAAGCCCAUUCACUCACUGUGACCUCAGAAAGACCAUUCACUGUGACCUUCAGACCAUUCACUGUAACUUGGAGAGACCAUUCUGUGCGUGCGACCUUGGAGAGACGAUUCCUUUGUGUCACCCACUCCGAACAUGGGGAGGUCAUGCACUGAAACGUGGAGGUGCUCACAUCUCCCCCAGAGCCUCAGCAUCCGUCUGUAAAAUGAGGCAGUUGCAGCAGUUCUCUUUCUCCACAUCUCCCCCGUGGAGUCAUGCACACAACAUGCAGGUAUGGAACAAAUUCAUCUUUGGAGAAAUCUGCUCAGAAAUCCAGAGACAGGAGGAUAAAGUCCCUGCAUGAGAAUGUAGAUUGUGAAUUGUCCUAAUCAUGUAUUUAUGGGGUACUUGUUAUUUGCCAUGUUCCAUUCAGGGGGAUAAGCAGGCAACAGGGAGCAAAAUAGACAAAAA